rnacentral:rRNA from 1 species
GACGAACCGUGCGAACGUUAUUCGGAAUUACUGGGCUUAAAGCGCGUGUAGGCGGAUGGGAACGUCGGUCGUUGAAAGCCCCCGGCUCAACCGGGGAAGUGGCGCCGAAACGACCCGUCUCGAGGAACGUAGGGGGAGCUGGAACUUCCGGUGGAGCGGUGAAAUGCGUUGAGAUCGGAAGGAACGCCCGUGGCGAAAGCGAGCUCCUGGACGUUAUCUGACGCUGAGACGCGAAAGCCAGGGGAGCGAACGGG